UACGUAGGGUGCAAGCGUUAAUCGGAAUUACUGGGCGUAAAGCGUGCGCAGGCGGCUUUGCAAGACAGAUGUGAAAUCCCCGGGCUUAACCUGGGAACUGCAUUUGUGACUGCAUGGCUGGAGUGCGGCAGAGGGGGAUGGAAUUCCGCGUGUAGCAGUGAAAUGCGUAGAUAGUGCGGAGGAACACCGAUGGCGAAGGCAAUCCCCUGGGCCUGCACUGACGCUCAUGCACGAAAGCGUGGGGAGCAAACAGG
rnacentral:rRNA from 1 species